AUAACGGCGUCGAGCGGCGGACGGGUGAGUAAUGCCUAGGAAAUUGCCCUGAUGUGGGGGAUAACCAUUGGAAACGAUGGCUAAUACCGCAUGAUGCCUACGGGCCAAAGAGGGGGACCUUCGGGCCUCUCGCGUCAGGAUAUGCCUAGGUGGGAUUAGCUAGUUGGUGAGGUAAGGGCUCACCAAGGCGACGAUCCCUAGCUGGUCUGAGAGGAUGAUCAGCCACACUGGAACUGAGACACGGUCCAGACUCCUACGGGAGGCAGCAGUGGGGAAUAUUGCACAAUGGGCGCAAGCCUGAUGCAGCCAUGCCGCGUGUGUGAAGAAGGCCUUCGGGUUGUAAAGCACUUUCAGUCGUGAGGAAGGUAGUGUAGUUAAUAGCUGCAUUAUUUGACGUUAGCGACAGAAGAAGCACCGGCUAACUCCGUGCCAGCAGCCGCGGUAAUACGGAGGGUGCGAGCGUUAAUCGGAAUUACUGGGCGUAAAGCGCAUGCAGGUGGUUUGUUAAGUCAGAUGUGAAAGCCCGGGGCUCAACCUCGGAAUAGCAUUUGAAACUGGCAGACUAGAGUACUGUAGAGGGGGGUAGAAUUUCAGGUGUAGCGGUGAAAUGCGUAGAGAUCUGAAGGAAUACCGGUGGCGAAGGCGGCCCCCUGGACAGAUACUGACACUCAGAUGCGAAAGCGUGGGGAGCAAACAGGAUUAGAUACCCUGGUAGUCCACGCCGUAAACGAUGUCUACUUGGAGGUUGUGGCCUUGAGCCGUGGCUUUCGGAGCUAACGCGUUAAGUAGACCGCCUGGGGAGUACGGUCGCAAGAUUAAAACUCAAAUGAAUUGACGGGGGCCCGCACAAGCGGUGGAGCAUGUGGUUUAAUUCGAUGCAACGCGAAGAACCUUACCUACUCUUGACAUCCAGAGAACUUUCCAGAGAUGGAUUGGUGCCUUCGGGAACUCUGAGACAGGUGCUGCAUGGCUGUCGUCAGCUCGUGUUGUGAAAUGUUGGGUUAAGUCCCGCAACGAGCGCAACCCUUAUCCUUGUUUGCCAGCGAGUAAUGUCGGGAACUCCAGGGAGACUGCCGGUGAUAAACCGGAGGAAGGUGGGGACGACGUCAAGUCAUCAUGGCCCUUACGAGUAGGGCUACACACGUGCUACAAUGGCGCAUACAGAGGGCGGCCAACUUGCGAAAGUGAGCGAAUCCCAAAAAGUGCGUCGUAGUCCGGAUUGGAGUCUGCAACUCGACUCCAUGAAGUCGGAAUCGCUAGUAAUCGUGGAUCAGAAUGCCACGGUGAAUACGUUCCCGGGCCUUGUACACACCGCCCGUCACACCAUGGGAGUGGGCUGCAAAAGAAGUAGGUAG
rnacentral:rRNA from 1 species